rnacentral:lncRNA from 1 species
AGAAAAAAUAAAAUAUUAAUUUUCAACAAUUGUCACAUUAAAAAUUUUCUCCAUCUAUAUCCACAUAAAAUUAAUAUUUUCCUCAUCAUAUAAAUCAAUAAUUAAUUAUUCACAAAUAAUAUUACAGAAUCACAAUAUUGAUAACCAGACAGUUCCCAGGAAAGAGGGGGCUUUCCAAUAAGAAUUUCUCCUUACUGGGGCACAAUUAGGUGACCAAAC